rnacentral:misc_RNA from 1 species
UAAGAGCUGAUCUUUGAACAAAAAAGUCUCAAUUCAUCACAAAAAUACAAAAAUUACAUCCUCUUAACUUUCAAGGUUCUGUUAGGCAUCAUCAGAGUUGCAAAUUUCUUUUCGAGUUUACAUUGUGACACGAUUUUGAAAGAGUUGUUGUUGCUUGAGAUGUUGUGAAUGACUACUUUUAGUCGAGAGAGGUUUGCUGAGAUCUAAGAUUAGCUUUUGUCUGCAACGGUUGCUUGAAAUCCGAUAGUCAUUUUGAGAUGCAAACAUCUCAGAGAACACAAAUGUCUGGAAGUGUUCACGGAUUGUACAAUCAGCAAAUGCAGCAAGUUGAGCAGUAUUACGCCCCUUACGAUGUUCUUAAGAACAGCUGUAAGGAUAAUCGUAGCUCAGGGAUGCAAUUCUCUUUACAGGCACAAGACGAACAAUUCUUCACGCUGGACUCGUCACCAGCUACCGACUAUGUUGUCAACGAUUCACCUCCUGCCUUGAGUGUUUCUUCCAACAGGAGUCCCUUUUCUCCUCAAUGUUCACAGUCAUACAUGUCUGAUCUGCAUCACUCCUCUGAUAACACGUGUGGUUCGCCUUUGAGUGGGUGUUCAGGAAUUGAUGAUGGUGACUUGAGACAUGUGCUUCGGGAGCUGGAGAAUAAAUUACUGGGGCCUGAAUCUGAUACUGACGACAGCUGCAGUUGCUCCUUGAACGAUAUGGUCUCAAAACCGUCUUCUGUUACAAGGUGGAACCGAGUGUUGGACAUGGCCCCUGGCUUGAACUUGAAAGAGUUGCUCGAUGCCUGUGCUGAAGCAGUGUCAGAUGCUGAUAUCUCUACUGCUGAAGCUCUUAUGAGUGCUUUAGAGCAACGGGUGUCUGUGUCUGGGGAACCGAUGGAACGAUUGGGUGCAUACGUGUUGGAAGGGAUUAGAGCACGACUACUAUCGUCAGGAAGCAUCAUAUAUAAAAAAUUGAAGUGCAAAGAACCAACUGGCUUGGAACUAUUGUCUUACAUGCAAGUCAUCUUUAACAUGUGUCCAUACUACAAAUUUGCUUAUAUGUCUGCGAAUGUCGUCAUUAAUGAAGCCAUGAUGAAUGAAAACAGAAUCCAUAUCAUUGAUUUUCAGAUUGCACAGGGAAGUCAGUGGAUGUUCCUCCUCCACUAUCUUGCUCAUCGUCCUGGUGGACCCCCAUUUGUCCGCAUCACAGGUGUUGAUGACGACGAAUCAGCUUAUGCUCGGGGUGGAGGACUUCAGCUAGUAGGCAAAAGGCUAGCAGAAGUUGCCAAAUCAUGUGGAGUGCCUUUUGAAUU